GGGUUGUAGGCGGAGACAUCCUUGAGGUCUCUGCUGCCAAACCUUUCAGCCCUAGAGCUGGAGCAGGAUCUGAAGCUGCUGCUGCAAACUGCUUUAAGUCAACCAGCUCUUUGAAGCAAACAUCCAUGAACAACUGAGUGAAUAUUGUGGGAAACAGCUGUGCGGAGCAGAUAGGAGUAGUUCCGUUCAC
rnacentral:lncRNA from 14 species